UGGAAGUAACUCCUUCUAAGCUAAAUAUCACCACGAGACCGAUAGCGAACAAGUACCGUGAGGGAAAGUUGAAAAGCACUCUGAAUAGAGAGUCAAAAAGUACGUGAAACUGCCUAGGGCUCAAGCCCGUUGAACUCGAUUAUCCGAGCGGAGACAUUCACCUGCGGGGUGCCGGCCGGCUUCAUUCCGGGCCGGCCGCCGCAGGGCACUUGUCUCUCCCGCGCACGAGGACGCUGCGAUCCAUUACGAAACAGCUUUCGCGCGCCGUGCGUUCACGCGCACGGUGCGCGCAGGUCGCCCGACAGUUGCCCCCUGGUGCUUCCCCUGGUUGCUUGCCCCACAGUAGCGACGCUCAGUUCCGAAGGCCUGUGCCGCGAGGUGGGGCUUACUGCACGUGGUGUGCAGUCGGGCGCGUGAUGGAUUCCCACGAGCACGACGCGGUACGCGACCCCCUUCCCUGCGUCGCCGCGGACCGUCGAUCGGCAGCGAAAGAAUCGAGGUACCUCCGGGACCCGUCUUGAAACACGAAA
rnacentral:rRNA from 1 species